UUAACUCAGAUUUGUAUGGAGUUGAAACGUUUGCCUACGUUUGCCGCUAGGGGCGCUGUUCCAACUGCAUACAAAAACUUUUACGCUA
rfam:Bombyx mori DNA, contig: Bm_scaf6_contig5105, strain: p50T/Dazao, build 2, whole genome shotgun sequence.